rnacentral:rRNA from 1 species
UGCACAGGCAUAGCGCCUGUGCUUUUCGGCACCCUAAGGCGGUGCCAGAAUAAGGGCUGGGCAAGACCGGUGCCAGCCGCCGCGGUAAUACCGGCAGCCCAAGUGAUGGCCGAUCUUAUUGGGCCUAAAGCGUCCGUAGCUGGCCACGCAAGUCCAUCGGGAAAAUCCACCUGCCCCAACAGGUGGGCGCCCGGUAGAAAACUGCGUGGCUUGGGACCGGAAGGCGCGACGGGUACGUCCGGGGUAGGAGUGAAAUCCCGUAAUCCUGGACGGACCGCCGAUGGCGAAAGCACGUCGCGAGAACGGAUCCGACAGUGAGGGACGAAAGCCAGGGUCUCGAACCGG